rnacentral:rRNA from 1 species
AGGAUGAACGCUAGCGACAGGCCUAACACAUGCAAGUCGAGGGGCAUCGGGGCGAGGAGCAAUCCUUGCCGCCGGCGACCGGCGCACGGGUGAGUAACGCGUAUGCGACCUGCCCGUUGCAGGGGGAUAAUCGGGAGAAAUCCCGUCUAAUACCGCAUAAUGCCGCGGGGCUGCAUGGCCCUGCGGCCAAAGGAAGCGAUUCCGGCAACGGAUGGGCAUGCGUGACAUUAGCUAGUUGGCGGGGCAACGGCCCACCAAGGCGACGAUGUCUAGGGGUUCUGAGAGGAAGGUCCCCCACACUGGUACUGAGACACGGACCAGACUCCUACGGGAGGCAGCAGUGAGGAAUAUUGGACAAUGGGGGAAACCCUGAUCCAGCGACGCCGCGUGAGUGAAGAAGUAUUUCGGUAUGUAAAGCUCUAUCAGCAGGGAAGAAAAUGACGGUACCUGACUAAGAAGCCCCGGCUAACUACGUGCCAGCAGCCGCGGUAAUACGUAGGGGGCAAGCGUUAUCCGGAUUUACUGGGUGUAAAGGGAGCGUAGACGGCAGCGCAAGUCUGAAGUGAAAUCCCAUGGCUUAACCAUGGAACUGCUUUGGAAACUGUGCAGCUGGAGUGCAGGAGUGGUAAGCGGAAUUCCUAGUGUAGCGGUGAAAUGCGUAGAUAUAUGGAAGAACACCAGUGGCGAAGGCGGCUCUCUGGUCUGCAACUGACGCUGAGGCUCGAAAGCAUGGGUAGCGAACAGGAUUAGAUACCCUGGUAGUCCAUGCCGUAAACGAUGAGUGCUAAGUGUUGGGAGGUUUCCGCCUCUCAGUGCUGCAGCUAACGCAUUAAGCACUCCGCCUGGGGAGUACGACCGCAAGGUUGAAACUCAAAGGAAUUGACGGGGGCCCGCACAAGCGGUGGAGCAUGUGGUUUAAUUCGAAGCAACGCGAAGAACCUUACCAGGUCUUGACAUCCAGUGCAAACCUAAGAGAUUAGGUGUUCCCUUCGGGGACGCUGAGACAGGUGGUGCAUGGCUGUCGUCAGCUCGUGUCGUGAGAUGUUGGGUUAAGUCCCGCAACGAGCGCAACCCUUGUCAUUAGUUGCCAUCAUUAAGUUGGGCACUCUAAUGAGACUGCCGGUGACAAACCGGAGGAAGGUGGGGAUGACGUCAAGUCAUCAUGCCCCUUAUGACCUGGGCUACACACGUGCUACAAUGGACGGUACAACGAGAAGCGAACCUGCGAAGGCAAGCGGAUCUCUUAAAGCCGUUCUCAGUUCGGACUGUAGGCUGCAACUCGCCUACACGAAGCUGAAAGCGCUAGUAAUCGCGGAUCAGCACGCCGCG